rnacentral:rRNA from 1 species
GAUGAACGCUGACAGAAUGCUUAACACAUGCAAGUCAACCUGCAUCUCGGUUUUUUAAUUCAGUUAUGGGUGGCGGACGGGUGAGUAACGCGUAAAGAACCUGCCUCUCCGCUUGGGACAACAUUUGGAAACGAAUGCUAAUACCUGUAAUUAUGAUUAUCAGGCAUUUUAGACUUAUGAAAGCUAUAUGUGCUGUGAGAGAGCUUUGCGUCCCAUUAGCUAGUUGGAGAGGUAACGGCUCCCCACGGCGAUGAUGGGUAGCCGGUCUGGGAGGGUGAACGGCCACAGAGGGACAGGGGCAGGGCCCGUACUCCAACGGGAGGCAGGGGUGGGAAAUAUAGGACAAUGGACCAAGAGUGUGAUGCAGGAAUUCGGUGUGCACAAUGACGUUGUUCGGAAUGAAAAGUGCUUGCAGUUGAGAAGGAAAAAAUGACGGUACCAACAGAAGAAGUAACGGCUAAAUACGUG